GAAACUUCCGUCACUCAAGUUCAAAUUGUAACGAAACCUCAAACGACUUGUAGAGAACGAAAGUCAACCUUCACUACUAGUACAUAACUUUGGCGAGCCGCAUCCACUGCCCACUACAACAUAUUGACUUGCCCGAUAAGGUCCCAAGACGCUUCCAUACCCUUGAAUUAUGCGUUUGCGUUGAUGCCUUCGGAUGCGCGACAUGAGUUGAGGGCUGCUGUUCACUGCCGAAGCUGAACGACAAUCUUGGUUCUCGUGACCGUCUUUUACUGCUGUCGAGGAUCCCCAAGAUGUAUCAAGUCCGUUGAAGGACAACUAGACACUUGAAUGUCGGUGCUUGUUCAAAUUGAUAACGUGGAGUUGCAGGUUGUCCCCCGAGACAAAGUCCAUCAGUCAAGUUUACCUACACUGCAUUCCGAUAGGAACCUUUCCGUGAGACUACCAAGUCAACUACCAGGGCUCGAGGAGUGUAGUAACGUCAGAGAGGAUGGUCGUCCCCGUUCUCUUCUCAGCAAAUUGCCGUCAGAUCACGUUUUGAUACCACGAUGCUGAAGAUCGUCAUCCCAUUUGACCCUGUGUCCUGGAAGCUCGAUCCUCGCGGCUUGGGAUCUUGGCGUUCAAUGGUGUUUCGGUUUAGUUUAGACCGAAUAGGGGCAUCUUGUACAUACUUUGGCGGUGGAACCAUGCUCACCAUGCUAUGCCUGCGGCGAAACUGUCGGCAAAUACCAUGGCCAUGAUGGAGUAAUGUACAUGACAAAGAGUUGUAGUGUAUCAGUAUGGGAUGCGGCGAAGG